rnacentral:rRNA from 1 species
UGGGGAAUAUUGCACAAUGGGCGCAAGCCUGAUGCAGCCAUGCCGCGUGUGUGAAGAAGGCCUUCGGGUUGUAAAGCACUUUCAGCGAGGAGGAAGGUGGUGAGCUUAAUACGCUCAUCAAUUGACGUUACUCGCAGAAGAAGCACCGGCUAACUCCGUGCCAGCAGCCGCGGUAAUACGGAGGGUGCAAGCGUUAAUCGGAAUUACUGGGCGUAAAGCGCACGCAGGCGGUUUGUUAAGUCAGAUGUGAAAUCCCCGGGCUCAACCUGGGAACUGCAUUUGAAACUGGCAAGCUAGAGUCUCGUAGAGGGGGGUAGAAUUCCAGGUGUAGCGGUGAAAUGCGUAGAGAUCUGGAGGAAUACCGGUGGCGAAGGCGGCCCCCCUGGACGAAGACUGACGCUCAGGUGCGAAAAGCGUGGGGGCAGCAAAACAGGAUUAGAUACCCUGGUAGUCCACGCUGUAAAACGAUGUCGA